rnacentral:lncRNA from 10 species
AUGGACGUAAAUUCAAACAGUCAUGCCGAGCCAUCCCGGGCUGACAGUCACGUUAAAGACACUAGGUCGGGCGCCACGGUGCCACCCAAGGAGAAGAAGGGCUCCAGCGGGGCCCCACAGACGAGCAGGAUGCCUGUCCCCAUGAGUGCCAAGAACAGACCCGGAACCCUGGACAAACCUGGCAAGCAGUCCAAACUGCAGGAUCCCCGCCAAUAUCGUCAGGUAGUUUUACCUUAAACCCAAUUUUGGAUGGACGCUAUUUCAGUUAAGAAGCAAGUCACUGACUUAGUUUAUACCAAAUAUUGUGCUUUCUUUGUAAGAUAACGGUUUACAUAGACAUCCUGGAUCUGGGGGCAUGAAGAAAGUCUAAAAACCAUUUGUUAAACUUUUUCACCACGCUUUUGCAUGCUUACAAUAAAACAUCUUUUACUUUGUGACUCCAAGCUCCAAAUUUUAACUGUUAACACACGGUGCCAGACCAGGUGGCUUUUCUUUGGUGAAUGUAGUGUUUCAUCUGAACACCUCGGGAAGCAGAGACAAACCAACCUGUGGUGGAACUGCCCUUAACGUCACCACUACUAACGUCUAUGUUGACUGUAUUGCGUUAGAAGCACAUUAACGCUCCGUCAAAAUGCCCGACCCCCACCCCAGUAAUUAUCCAGACGCAUGGCCCACCUGGCACACGGGAAAUGAUAGAGCUGGAAUCAUGGGACUCCUCUCACAAAUGCGUUCUUCCUUUCCUCCUUUCCUGUCCAUCCUUUGCUAUGUACGUGGGGGGUUUCUACCAG